CUGGUUCUAGUGUAAGGGGAUUUUUAAAAUAUUCAUAAAACAACAUCAAAAUAAUUAAUUUUAAUCCUUUUACAGAAAUAAAAGUUUUCGAGAGGCCAUCUCUUCUGCUGGUGGAGUAAAGAUCAAAUCAGCAGUAAAAACAAGUAUGUUCAUUGUACACAGAAUUCCACACUUGUGAAAGAGAGCUGAGUCAGAGCUUUAAAAAGAAGUCUCUCCAAUCCAUUUAAAGGAAUCCCAGGUGGAUCUAGACCCUUUCAAGAAGUGCAGUGCAGAGUCUCCAGAUAAAGAGCAAAUAGGACAUCAUCUGCAUAUGGCCAUUCUGAGAAGAAUAUGUUUCCUAGCAAUGCUCUACCUUCACCAACACAGAACUGCUCAAGAGAAAUAGACAAUGAUGGUAAAUAACAGGAAUUUGCCAAAUAAAGGAAAUUUUUAAAGUGAAA